CAGCCGCCGCGGGAAUACAGAGGGUGCGAGCGUUAAUCGGAUUUACUGGGCGUAAAUCGUGCGUAGGCGGCUUCUUAAGUCGGAUGUGAAAUCCCUGAGCUUAACUUAGGAAUUGCAUUCGAUACUGGGAAGCUAGAGUAUGGGAGAGGAUGGUAGAAUUCCAGGUGUAGCGGUGAAAUGCGUAGAGAUCUGGAGGAAUACCGAUGGCGAAGGCAGCCAUCUGGCCUAAUACUGACGCUGAGGUACGAAAGCAUGGGGAGCAAACAGGAUUAGAUACCCCCGUAGUCCCUGUCUCUUAUAC
rnacentral:rRNA from 1 species